AGGGUUUUGACAACCCACAUUGAGUUGAUCAAUGUAGAUCGAUUUCAACAACUGGGCUGUCUAUGAGCAGGGUAGAUCGAAGAAGCUAGCAUCGUGCAGCAACAAUGACGGAAGAUGGAAAGGGAUAUUUACAAGGAAAGAAGCAUUUAGAAACUAUGUUGAUCGAAGAAGGUAGCAUUGUGGAGCAACAAUGGCGGAAGAUGGAAAGGGAGACUUUACAAGGAAAGAAGCAAAUAGAAACUAUUGACCUAUAUCGAAUGGUUUCUCAGUUUAGGAGACAACACAUACUUAUAUGGCAAGUGUAUAUCUCCUUCCUUUGAAAGAACAAGCGUUGGAGAAGAGGAAAUCAAAGCAAAGAGACCAGUCAUGGUGAGAAUCCUGGGUAAUCGGUCAAACAUCUCUUCCUUGCAGGCAUAUGUUCUUGGAGGUUACUUGAUUCUAAGGUGGGCCUGGCUUAAAUGGAAGGAAAGGAGGCCCAAAAAUGAAUAGUCCAUUUGAGAUAGCUAGUUCUUCAAGUCAUUAUUUAUUAUUUGUUUUGAUGGACCGUAGCUUUUACAUACCAUUGCUUAUAGAGAACCAUAUGUGGAUGAAGUAAUUAUAUGAACCUUUCAUGUCUAAUCUUUUGCUUUUCUUUUGCUCAGAUUAAUUAAUCUGCCAGUUCUUCCA